GGUCGUAGCAAGUAUUCAAGUAAGAACAUAGAAGGCUGAGAUGGGGUGGGGUUCCAUGCGAAUAGGAGUCGAAUAUGGGCCAAGCGGUCCAAAAUUAUCUGGCAAAUUGGGACUGAGGCGGUGUUUAUGACAUUGUCCGUCCGCAGGAUUCGCGCAGUAAUGUGCAAAGCACUGUGGCAUUGUAGCCCCCUGUACGGAAAGGGAGUCGAGUUAAUAUUCCCGACCUUAACCACAGAAAUUGGUGUAUUUUGAGUCUUUGGCUCGAAUUAAGCCCGGUGCGGUGACGCGAUCAACCUCGAAGACAUCGGCGAGAGUUCUAGGAAGAGUCCUCUUUUCUCUACCAGCAAUCUACCCACUCCUUAUAAUCGGCUUGAUCAGGGACAGGGGGUAGCCUGCAUAAAGCAUUACCUUUAUGGUAUCCAAAACGCUUUUGUAGACCAUAAGCAAUAAGAAGAGAAGCAGUUUGAUUUUCCUGGCAUCCUAUACUCAUAUCUACAGCAGCUAUUUAAGGUAUACGGCCUUUGAAAACU
rfam:Schistosoma haematobium scaffold196_8, whole genome shotgun sequence.